rnacentral:tRNA from 1 species
GUGCUGUGGUAUAGGAGAUGCAUCUUCGGAUGCAUGACCUUUCCCGUGCUUUUUAGAACAUAGAUCGGAUCAGUCAGAUCACGAUCGAAACGCAAUACGUCGAGUAUGGGUCUGGUUGUCCUUCGAGCGUCAAGCGCGAGGGGCGUUUAGCCAUAUCCGGCUCAGAUAAGGCGAGAGCCGCCGUCCACGUUUCUCUUUCUCACAAGGAUACGAACCACGCCGCAUCAUGUUGCGUGCUUAACGAAUGGGCCCGUAGCUCAGGUGGUUAGAGCGCACGCCUGAUAAGCGUGAGGUCGGCAGUUCGAGUCUGCCCGGGCCCACCAUUCGCUCUGCGAAUGUGUCCUGACGCUGUCGCGAUCUGAAGAUCGCUUCGCUCCGGACGGGCCGCCGAACGAUCGGCGACGGGCCUUUGCCUUGCGGCGCUUGGUGCGCCGACGGCAUGCUUGACAUUUUCCCCGAAGCCGGGGUCCCCGGUCUUCAAAAGAUGGGGCUGUACUCAGCUGGGAGAGCGCUUUUUUGCAAGAGGGCGUCAGCUCUUCACCCCCACCAGCACCACCGUAUGGUGGUGACUGGCGGUAGUAUCCUCGGGGAAAAGUAGUUUGUUCUUCUUAUGAGACAGAUGCUGUUCUGCACAAUUGUUARGAAAGAAUGUCUGGAAGCUUCUGGGGUGAAGAGAUGAAAGUGGCCGAGAGUCUAACCACCCACAAACAUGAUGUCUCCCGACUGCAAUGGGAGAGUGCGGUAGAGGAGCUGUGUGAAGCUCGUGUCGUGGCGCCAUCGCGAUACGCUCUGUCUGGCGAUUGGGUCUUGCCCCCUAUCGGCGGGUCGGAAUGGUUAGCAGAGGGAAAUACCUUUCUGGUCCACAACGACUUGCGACACUGCUUGAUGUCGGGAUAGAACGGAUAGCGAUUCGUAUGAGGGUGACUUGCGGGGUGCUGCUGGAGUCAGUGACGAGCAUUGGACG